rnacentral:misc_RNA from 1 species
AAAAAAUAUAAAAAAACAUGUAUAUGAAUUCGAUUCUCGGUUCGGUACGAUUUUUGUUCAAUUUUAAUGCGAUUCUGAUUUAAUUUUUAAUAAAGAGUUAGAAUCAAAUUAAAAUAUUAAAAUAACUUUAAUUCUUUAUGAUUAUUCGAUUCCAAAAAUCGUGCAUGGCGCUAGUGCUUCAUGACCUUCCUGGUUUUAAGAGGCACUCUGUGUCCCAGUAACAGCUGGAAAUGCCCUGGAUUGAAUAUAUGUUUGGGGUGGUACCUGGAGUUAUGGGAACUAGUAGGUGGAUAAGAUCAAGAUAUGGUGGGCGAGGCCCAUUCAUUUCAGAUUGUGUAGAUCAUUGAUGACCAAUUCCAUAAUAUUUUUUAAUUUUUAUUAUGUGUAAUCUUUUCCUUGAAAUUUUGUUGCAGAGCCAAGCACGGAAAACAUUUAGGAUCUUGCUUCUACUGCCACGUCAUAUCACCUAAACUUCAGCAGCUUGCAAUUCUUUUACUCUGACCAAACAAAAAAACGGAUCUUUUAUCCACGUCAUCCUAACAUCAGCUGUUAUCCGUAAAAAGAGAGAGAGAGAGAGAGA